rnacentral:rRNA from 1 species
UACGUAGGGGGCAAGCGUUGUCCGGAAUCAUUGGGCGUAAAGCGCGCGUAGGCGGCCCUGUAAGUCCGUUGUGAAAGUCAAAGGCUCAACCUUUGAAAGCCGAUGGAUACUGUAGGGCUAGAGUCCGGAAGAGGCGAGUGGAAUUCCUGGUGUAGCGGUGGAAUGCGCAGAUAUCAGGAGGAACACCAAUAGCGAAGGCAGCUCGCUGGGACGGUACUGACGCUAAGGCGCGAAAGCGUGGGGAGCGAACAGG